rnacentral:rRNA from 1 species
GAUGAACGCUGGCGGCGUGCUUAACACAUGCAAGUCGAACGGAAAGGCCCAAGCUUGCUUGGGUACUCGAGUGGCGAACGGGUGAGUAACACGUGGGUGAUCUGCCCUGCACUUCGGGAUAAGCCUGGGAAACUGGGUCUAAUACCGGAUAGGAUCACAUUUUGGAUGGUGUGGUGGAAAGCUUUUCGGUUUGGGAUGAGCUUGCGGCCUAUCAGCUUGUUGGUGGGGUAAAGGCCUAUCAAGGGGUCGACGGGUAGCCGGGCGUCGAGGGGGAACGGCCAUACGAGAGUGGAGGGCCGGAUUAGGACUGUAAUGCAGGCCGCAGUCCGGAAGGUGGGAGCAGUGGGGAAUGUUGGACCCUGGGAGAAAGCCUGAGGCAGGGAGGCCGCGUGGGUGAUGACGGCCUUUGUGUUGUAAGCAACUCUCGCUAUUGACGACGCGUUUUUGUGACGGUACCUGGAGAAGAAGCACCGGCUAACUACGUG